rnacentral:rRNA from 1 species
UACGAAGGGGGCUAGCGUUGCUCGGAAUCACUGGGCGUAAAGCGCACGUAGGCGGCUUUCUAAGUCAGGGGUGAAAUCCUGGAGCUCAACUCCAGAACUGCCUUUGAUACUGGAGAGCUUGAGUCCGGAAGAGGUGAGUGGAACUCCGAGUGUAGAGGUGAAAUUCGUAGAUAUUCGGAAGAACACCAGUGGCGAAGGCGGCUUGCUGGACCUUUUCUGACGCUGAGGCGCGAAAGCCAGGGGAGCAAACGGG